UACGGGAGGCAGCAGUGGGGAAUAUUGCACAAUGGGCGAAAGCCUGAUGCAGCUAUGCCGCGUGUAUGAAGAAGGCCUUAGGGUUGUAAAGUACUUUCAUCGGGGAGGAAAAAACAAAACUAAUAAUUUUAUUUCUUGACGUUACCCGAAAAAGAAGCACCGGCUAACUCCGUGCCAGCAGCCGCGGUAAUACGGAGGGUGCUAGCGUUAAUCAGAAUUACUGGGCGUAAAGAGCACGUAGGUGGUUUUUUUAAAGUCAGAUGUGAAAUCCCUGGGCUUAACCUAGGAACUGCAUUUUGAAACUGAAAUACUAGAGUAUCGUAGAGGGAGGUAGAAUUCUAGGUGUAGCGGUGAAAUGCGUAGAUAUCUGGAGGAAUACCUGUGGCGAAAGCGGCCUCCUAAACCGAAUACUGACACUGAGGUGCGAAAGCGUGGGGAGCAAACAGGGAUUAGAUACC
rnacentral:rRNA from 1 species